CCUACGGGCGGCAGCAGUGAGGAAUAUUGGUCAAUGGACGAGAGUCUGAACCAGCCAAGUAGCGUGAAGGAUGACUGCCCUAUGGGUUGUAAACUUCUUUUAUAUGGGAAUAAAACGUUCCACGUGUGGGAUUUUGUAUGUACCAUAUGAAUAAGGAUCGGCUAACUCCGUGCCAGCAGCCGCGGUAAUACGGAGGAUCCGAGCGUUAUCCGGAUUUAUUGGGUUUAAAGGGAGCGUAGGUGGAUUGUUAAGUCAGUUGUGAAAGUUUGCGGCUCAACCGUAAAAUUGCAGUUGAAACUGGCAGUCUUGAGUACAGUAGAGGUGGGCGGAAGUCGUAGUGUAGCGGUGAAAUGCUUAGAUAUCACGAAGAACUCCGAUUGCGAAGGCAGUUCACUGGACUGCAACUGACACUGAGGCUCGAAAGUGUGGGUAUCAAACAGGAUUAGAUACCCUUGUAGUC
rnacentral:rRNA from 1 species